AUUCCCAUCACGAACGCAACUUCCAGCGCAUAAGGAGCAUUGCUACCGCAUUUGGCCUCAGAUAUUGACAUCAAGAUUCACACCUUGCUACUACUCAUGCUCUAUUUCUACCGGGAGAGCAGGCGCACACACGCUGCGACGUCGAGAACUGGAUGGCACUAAGUGUUGGGCGCCGAAACCAGGAAUAUGUGUACAAGGAAAAUGUUACAUCGACGCAGCUUCUGAAGGUUAUGAGAUCGUCCAUCAACGUGAAUUGCGAUAUUCUGAUCAACUUCUCCGCACGAAACGGAGCCCAUCUUUAGGCUCGUUCUGGCAUAAGUUCAAGACCAAGGGAGGAGCGGAUAUGAAGGCUCUCAGAGAACGCUUUCCUUUGGUAAAGGAGGAGCAAAAUCGUCAGCGUGAGUCAUUGAAGGAAAAAGUAACGGAAGUGACAACCGUGUUUGAUAAAUUCGUCAAAAAUAGCCUGAAGAAUGGCAUAAACCAUGUGAAGACUGCCGUGCACAGUGCUGAACGCGUAAAUGAGGACUGGACGCAUGAUGCUUUUGGAAAAGAUUCUGGAAAAUUCUUAAGAGGCAACGCUGUACAACCUUCCCCGACUUGGAGCAUGCCGAAGAUGCCUGAAACACCAAGCAGUUUCCCACUUAAAGCCGUGGCAUCAUCUGAAAACGAACGUGAAGUCAAUACAGACACCAGACACAAAGUAAACACAGAGAGCGAGUUUGAAAACGCAUGGACUGGUUCAAAGUUAAGCAUGCCAUCAGUCAUUAAGAGGGUAAGCACCAGUGAAACACCAUGGUGGGAUGCUAACAAAGAAGAAAACUCGAGAGUUGUAAACUUCGCAUCACCAAGAAAGCUCAGUGAUAGAAACAUGGGCGCAGAUGGCCUUGGAAGCAAUCUGGAUGAAGAGGCCGCAGAAGAUGCCAGAAUGAGCGCACCAGAUUUUGGAACAAGCGGCGAGCCACGUAUACCGUCUCACUUCAUGGCUGACAAGGAGCAUUCUUCUUCAACUCACUCAAAAUUCAGAUCAAGUUCCCCUUUAAUGAUCGAAAAUGCAUACAGUAAUAUGAACAGCCUACUAAAGUUUUCCGAAGAUAACGCUGAUGACACGAAUAACCGAAAGCAAAGCAUGGACACUAAUUCAGUUUACAAGCCACCACCUCUAGAAUCCUCC